rnacentral:rRNA from 1 species
AUACGUAGGGGGCGAGCGUUGUCCGGAAUGAUUGGGCGUAAAGGGCGCGUAGGCGGCUUUGCAAGUCAGUAGUGGAAGUCCAUUUUUCAAGGAUGGAAGUGCUACAGAAACUGCGGAGCUUGAGUGCAGGAGAGGUUAUCGGAAUUCCCGGUGUAGCGGUGAAAUGCGUAGAGAUCGGGAGGAACACCAGUGGCGAAGGCGGGUAACUGGACUGCAACUGACGCUGAGGCGCGAAAGUGUGGGGAGCAAACAGGAUUAGAUACCCUGGUAGUCCACACUGUAAACGAUGAAUGCUAGGUGUAGGAGGUAUCGACCCCUUCUGUGCCGCAGUAAACACAGUAAGCAUUCCGCCUGGGGAGUACGGUCGCAAGAUUAAAACUCAAAUGAAUCGACGGGG